GUUUGCUAUAUUUAGUUAUUAUACACAUUGGUGAGAGCUUUUUUUUUCAGGGUCAGUUAUUUUCUUUGCAUAUUUUGAACAGAGGAGAAAACAACUGGUGCUCAAAGGCUUUAAGCAACAAGAAAUUGGUUGUCUACUUUGGCCAGCUGGUGGCUCAUUCAAGUGAAGAAGCAGGGACAAGGGAAGAGGGAGCUCCCUCUUUCCUUGUACCUCCAUCUUAAUAAACUAAAGGUCUCAUUCUUCUUUGCUUCAGGAUGCUACAAGCAACAGCACACCAUUAGCUGUUACUCAAGAGUAAAUUCAGCCUUCAAUUUCCUCAGACCUAAUGGUCCGAGGAGUCUACAAACUCAUCUGGAACAAGUACUGGAUAUUCCACUACAUCUCAGCUCAACUGAGUGUCCUUGCUCUGGCUCUGUUAUUAUUGACAAGGUUCCUGCGAAAGUCACAAGUAUCAAAAAGCAAAUGAAAAUGCAAGAACAACAUGAGACUGAAUGAGAUGAUUAAAGUUUUGUAUAAUUGAAAUUUCAGAAAUGGAGAAGAGAGAGGAUGAGGCAGAAGGAACAUCUAUGGACAUAACUAUGUUAAAUUCUCCAAAGGUGAAGAUUCAGGAAGCACUACUAAAUUUAAGCAAAUUCAUGUUGUAUUAAAAUGGCCAAAAAUCAAAGACAGUGCUAAGGAAAAUAAAGCAUUAAGGAACCACUUGUAAGAAACAGAGCUGACCUCUGUAAUGAACAUUCCCCAACC
rnacentral:lncRNA from 1 species